rnacentral:lncRNA from 1 species
CAAAAAAGAUAUAUAUAUGUAUUUUAGCUAGAUUCCACUCAGAAAAGCAAAGCAAGGGCGGAAGAGCUUAUUGGCGGAGCAGGAGCUGGGUGUUUUAGCCUAAGUGCUUACGUGAGGUGAGACUCAAGUUCCACUAUUCCAGAAGUUGCUUGUUCAUUAAUAGAAUCUGGGGAUUGGAGCGCAGAAGCAUCAGACUUCAAGUCAAACAACUACAACUCUCACCUUAGCCGAUGAAGACAGAAACUCACCUAUUGUUUCAUUGAAAUUGC